CCCUUCUUCUCCUCACCUCCCCUGUAGCGUGGCCGAGCUCCUCUCUGGUCCGCGGUACAGGAGUUUCUGUUUCCUGUACCCGGCCACACUGAGUGUGCACUUCCUAUCAGUCCGGCCGGGUCGCGGGCUGGAGAGGAGAGAGGCCCCGCUACAGGAAGGGGAGGUGAGGAGAGAGGCAGUGCGGCAGCCGCCUGAGGCUCUCUAUAGAGCGCUCAGACGGCUGCAGCAUUUAAAGGCCUGGCGAUGUAAGCCUUAGAAAUGGCUGAGAUUAUCCAUCGGCAAAUGCAGGAGGAAGAGGCAGAUUGACCUCUCUUAUAUCCUGAAGGAAUGAUGAACAAGCUAGCUGAGUUCCUUAUUUCCGCUGUACGGUUCAGAUAAGAUGAUGUACAAUGAACCAGAUCCAGACAAUGGCAUUUCUCUUUUUCCUCAGAAGAAGGGUGUGGAAAAAAGGCUGGUAGAACAAUAUCCUGGUUCAUAUGAAAUGAGGAUACUACUUUAGGACGAAAGGUAGGAACAGUCCGAAGGAUGACUCGGUCUUCUUGUAAAAUUAGAUAUGGGGAAUCUCAAGAAAGUGCACCCAGUUCUGAGAUUCUUCUUCAUGAGGUAAGUGCCACCAGAAGAACUGUUUUGAUUGUCAGUGUCAUCAGAGAAAUAUUUUCCAAUGGUUCGAAUGGAGCACCAGACAAAGCCUGCAAAACCAAAGGCAAGUCCCAAGGAGGGGAACAAGAGUUCAAUGGAGGGUGUAGUUUUAGGAUAGCUUGACAAAAUCUUCCCACAUCAGGAUCAAAUGCCAAUUUUUUAUCUAAUAGAGCAGAAAGAGCUGAAAUCUGUACCAUUAAUUAACUAAGGCUUAGACCUUUGUCAAAUCCAUCUUGUAAAAAUUGCAAAAUGUCACUGAUACUGGGUGACAAAGGAGAUAUUUUAUGGUCCAUACUCCAGUCACAAAAGAUGUCCCAUAUCCGAUAGUAGUAAUGAAAAACAUCUCAGGCACUCACUGUACUUGGUUCCAGGCAGAUUUAUUACAACGUUUCGACCUGAACAGGUCUUUAUUAAGCUAACACCACAGUGAUAGAAUUGCAUUUAAAUACACACAUCAUACAAACAAGUAAUCAUUGUUUAAUAACCAAUUUCAUUAGAUACACAUAAGUUUAAAAUAAUUCAAUCAAUAAAUCAAACUAUCAUAUCAGAGCCACAAAAGACAUGGAAAAAUGAACAUAUCCGAUAGUAGGCUUAAGAAGUCGACCUCUUCCUUGCGUUUAGAAGGGUACUGAUCACGGAUGUAGACAAGCCUUUACUCGAGAGGCAUUGUCUUUCAAUUUCCAAGCCAUCCAUCUCAGAGACUAAAUAUCUGUUUAUCACCACAAGACCCCUUUGUGACAUUAGAAAGGGUGUUACAUAGAGUUCCUCCAGAAAGACAUAAUAGUUUGGUCAUAUGUGGAGACUUUAAUUUGAGUAUGGAUCCAGACUUACAUGUAUCAGGUUUUCAAACCCCUAGGGCAGAAAAGGCGGCUCAUAAGAGAAGUAGGA